AUUGAACGCUGGCGGCAGGCCUAACACAUGCAAGUCGAACGGUAACAGGAGACAGCUUGCUGUUUCGCUGACGAGUGGCGGACGGGUGAGUAAUGUCUGGGAAACUGCCUGAUGGAGGGGGAUAACUACUGGAAACGGUAGCUAAUACCGCAUAACGUCGCAAGACCAAAGAGGGGGACCUUCGGGCCUCUUGCCAUCGGAUGUGCCCAGAUGGGAUUAGCUUGUUGGUGGGGUAACGGCUCACCAAGGCGACGAUCCCUAGCUGGUCUGAGGGGAUGACCAGCCACACUGGAACUGAGACACGGUCCAGACUCCUACGGGAGGCAGCAGUGGGGAAUAUUGCACAAUGGGCGCAAGCCUGAUGCAGCCAUGCCGCGUGUAUGAAGAAGGCCUUCGGGUUGUAAAGUACUUUCAGCGGGGAGGAAGAGAGUAAAGUUAAUACCUUUACUCAUUGACGUUACCCGCAGAAGAAGCACCGGCUAACUCCGUGCCAGCCGCCGCCGUAA
rnacentral:rRNA from 1 species